CGGACGGGUGAGUAAUGUCUGGGAAACUGCCUGAUGGAGGGGGAUAACUACUGGAAACGGUAGCUAAUACCGCAUAACGUCGCAAGACCAAAGAGGGGGACCUUCGGGCCUCUUGCCAUCGGAUGUGCCCAGAUGGGAUUAGCUAGUAGGUGGGGUAACGGCUCACCUAGGCGACGAUCCCUAGCUGGUCUGAGAGGAUGAUCAGCCACACUGGGACUGAGACACGGCCCAG
rnacentral:rRNA from 1 species